rnacentral:lncRNA from 1 species
CCUUUUCCCAAACAUACAAUUACACAAUCAUUCCCAAAUGUCAAACUCAACUCACAUCUCUCACCAAAAGAUCCUAAGAACAUUAACUCCUUCUCUUUGAAAUCUACAAGAGAUUUUUCACAACCUCAAAACAUUACUUAGCUCCUAACAACUUUGCUAGCCCCCUUUUUCUUUCUUUUUCUUUUCUUUUCAUAUAAUUUUUUUUUAUUUUUUAUUUUUAAAUGGGGGCCAAAACUUUUCAUAACUUGAGCUAGAUGGUUUUCUACUUAUCCCAGUAAGACAAUUCACUUAAACACAAAGAGUUAUUUC